ACGGGGGGUGCAAGCGUUGUUCGGAAUUAUUGGGCGUAAAGAGCGUGUAGGCGGCUGAAUAAGUCAGAUGUGAAAUCCCUGGGCUUAACUCAGGAAGUGCAUUUGAAACUAUUCAGCUCGAGUAGGUGAGAGGAAAGUGGAAUUCCUGGUGUAGAGGUGAAAUUCGUAGAUAUCAGGAGGAACACCGAUGGCGAAGGCAACUAUCUGGGCUUAUACUGACGCUGAGGCGCGAGAGUGUGGGUAUCAAACAG
rnacentral:rRNA from 1 species